GUACAUCAGCCAUGUGGUAACACUCCAAGGAUUACUGGACAUGGGUGAAAGAACACAUCAAAUACAUUAUUUUUAAUGAGCACAGAUAGAGACGGAACAAUGAUGACACUAUUACUGGCGCUGUAAAAUUCCAGGCAGAGUCAAGCCAGGGCCCGACAUGCCUGAAAUCAAGAAAGUAUUUCCACAUGAAUAAACUGCAGCUUCUGAAACACUUUGGGCGAGCUACGUCAAUCGUGUCCACGAGAAAAGAUGCAGUCGCCAGCGGAAGUGGAUAUUUCAUCACAACAUCCGGUUUCGGAGAUCCACCCAGGAAAAGAGCCAUCUGAAUCCCUUCCCUGCUGUACUCAAAGUGUGUAAUGGUAGGUAUAAGAAACACAAACCUAUUAUUGCCAACUCUCUAGAAUGGACUUAUACUGUCUUUAAGUUGAAGUGGAGUGGUAAUCGGUUCUUUGGGGAAACUAAAAUAAUACAGUUGAACGAUGCAGACCAUCCAUCCAUCCAUCCAUCCAUUUUCUACCGCUUAUUCCCUUCGGGGUCGCUGGGGCGCUGGAGCCUAUCUCAGCUACAAUCGGGCGGAAGGCGGGGUACACCCUGGACAAGUCGCCACCUCAUCGCAGGGCCAACACAGAUAGACAGACAACAUUCACACUCACAUUCACACACUAGGGCCAAUUUAGUGUUGCCAAUCAACUUAUCCCCAGGUGCAUGUCUUUGGAGGUGGGAGGAAGCCGGAGUACCCGGAGGGAACCCACGCAGUCACAGGGAGAACAUGCAAACUCCACACAGAAAGAUCCC